GGUUGGAUGGCUGAGCAUGAAAAGCGAUAAAUUGUAAAUUUAUAAACGGAAUAAAGUUCCUUCAACUA
rnacentral:tRNA from 1 species